AUUGAACGCUGGCGGCAGGCCUAACACAUGCAAGUCGAACGCGUGGCGGACGGGUGAGUAAUGUCUGGGAAACUGCCCCAUGGAGGGGGAUAACUACUGGAAACGGUAGCUAAUACCGCAUACCAUCGGAUGUGCCCAGAUGGGAUUAGCUUGUAGGUGGGGUAACGGCUCACCCAGUCGACGAUCCCUAGCUGGUCUGAGAGGAUGACACGCCACACUGGAACUGAGACACGGUCCAGACUCCUACGGGAGGCAGCAGUGGGGAAUAUUGGACAAUGGGCGCAAGCCUGAUGCAGCCAUGCCGCGUGUAUGAAGAAGGCCUUCGGGUUGUAAAGUACUUUCAGCGGGGAGGCGUUACCCGCAGAAGAAGCACCGGCUAACUCCGUGCCAGCAGCCGCGGUAAUAC
rnacentral:rRNA from 1 species